rnacentral:rRNA from 1 species
AUCGAACGCUGGCGGCAGGCCUAACACAUGCAAGUCGAGCGAGCGGCGGACGGGUGAGUAAUGUAUGGGGAUCUGCCCGAUCGAGGGGGAUAACUACUGGAAACGGUGGCUAAUACCGCAUACUAUCGGAUGAACCCUUGUGGGAUUAGCUAGUAGGUGGGGUAAAGGCUCACCUAGGCGACGAUCCCUAGCUGGUCUGAGAGGAUGAUCAGCCACACUGGGACUGAGACACGGCCCAGACUCCUACGGGAGGCAGCAGUAGGGAAUAUUGCACAAGGGGCGCAAGCCUGAUGCAGCCAUGCCGCGUGUGUGAAGAAGGCCUUCGGGUUGUAAAGUACUUUCGGCGGGGAGGCGUUACCCGCAGAGAAAGCACCGGCUAACUCCGUGCCAGCAGCCGCGGUAAUUC